rnacentral:tRNA from 1 species
GGCCCCGUAGCUCAGCUGGAUAGAGCGUCCCCCCUCCUAAGGGGAAGGUCGCCCGUUCGAAUCGGGCCGGGGUCACCA